CGUCAGGAAGUGAACGGACUGGCGGCGUGCUUAACACAUGCAAGUCGAACGAAGCACUUGCAGCAGACUGGAGAGCUUGCUCAAAGGGAAGCAGCAUUUGACUGAGUGGCGGACGGGUGAGUAACGCGUGGAUAACCUGCCUCAUACAGGGGGAUAACAGUUGGAAACGGCUGUUAAUACCGCAUAAGCGCACGAAACCGCAUGGUUUUGUGUGAAAAACUCCGGUGGUAUGAGAUGGGUCCGCGUCUGAUUAGCUAGUUGGCAGGGUAACGGCCUACCAAGGCGACGAUCAGUAGCCGGCCUGAGAGGGUGUACGGCCACAUUGGGACUGAGACACGGCCCAAACUCCUACGGGAGGCAGCAGUGGGGAAUAUUGCACAAUGGGGGAACCCUGAUGCAGCGACGCCGCGUGGGUGAAGAAGUAUUUCGGUAUGUAAAGCCCUAUCAGCAGGGAAGAAAAUGACGGUACCUGACUAAGAAGCCCCGGCUAACUACGUG
rnacentral:rRNA from 1 species